GGAUGUGAGGGUGAUCUGGUUGAGACAUCUGUCACCCCAUUGAUUGCCAGGGUUGAUUCGGCUAAUCUGGCUGGCUAGGCAGGUGUCCCCUUCCUCCCUCACCACUGCAAGUGCAUCGCUUCAGAAGCUAAGCACUCUGUCGAAGAGGAUGACCAUCCCCGAUAGAGGAGGAUUGGUCUUUGGUCAAGAGUAUACAAGUAGCUGUUCUUCCCCAGAAUCUCCAAACAAGUUCUCAACAUUAGUGUGAAGUCUGAGGUCAACUCUUCCAGUCUUUCUCAAGUUUUUACAGCCUU
ensembl:misc_RNA 7SK 7SK RNA